GGACGCUUCAUGGCUGCACAUAUACUAAAACUGGAACGAUACAGAGAAGAUUAGCAUGGCCCCUGCGUAAGGAUGACACGCAAAUUCGUGAAGGGUUCCAUAUUUUU